AUCUCCAACUGGACAUCACUCCUCUUGGAGCCCUUCUGUGAGCCCAGGAUACGGGAAUUGCAGACCUCACUGAUGUGUGUUGAAGACUGGCAGCCAGGAUAAUUUGCACUUGAAUGGGAGCUUCUACAAAUGCACGCCAGAAAUUCCAGUUGGUUGAAAUCAUAAUUCUCACUGCUACUGCUGCUGAUUACGAUGGAAAAAAUAACAAUUCUGACUGUGAACCUCUGAGGUCAUAUGGCUGAAGGAGGAGGAACUGGGAGUCAGGGAGGAAAAUUGCUUUCAGCUAAAGGGGCCUGCUUUCUCCAGAGUUCAUGCUCCCUGAAUAUCCUAUUUUAUCAAAGAAAGCUGCUGUGCCACAGGCUUGCAGUGGGAGUGAUUUCACGCCUCCUUCAGUCCUUCAGAGAUGCGGGUGGAAAAGGAACUGGGAGAGCUACUGCCUGGAACUUCAUCUGCUGAUGUGCUCUCUUUCUUGUGUUGUCUUCAAAUUUACUGAUCACUCCAUACACAUCAGGUAGCAUAUUGAAGACCAAGAAGCCAACUGGGACAAAGAACUGAUGGUGUUGUAUUCCAUGUACACCAUGUAAAAGGUGCUUGCCUCCUGAACAGCUUACUGCCCUGAUGAAAUAAAUUAUGUUAAAUAAAUUAACAGGCAACUCAGAUGGCUCAGUACAACAAGCAACAUGGAGCAGAGAAUAGCUACUUGUCUGUUAGAAAAUAUUUUAAACCUAAGUUGCAUAAAAUGUAUUUGUCCAUAAAGUGAUUUCCUGAAAUGUUAUGAGAAUAUAAAUUUGUUCUGAGUGCCAUGAAGAACAGUUGGCCUAACAUUCAAAGAGAUCAAACUAUUUUUUCUGCAGAUGAACUAAUUAAUUAAAAAAGAAAAGAAAAAAAGACAAGAGAAAAUGCUGACCUAUUUACUUAAGUCAAAGAGCAAUUAAAAAACUUGAAAAUGAUAAUAUAAUCAAAACAUCAAGUUUGGAAAUAACAGUUUUUAUGUAAUUUCCUUCUCAUUAUCACCUAAAGCAUGGGUUCAUCUACACUGGUUGUUUUCCCAGAUUUUACAGAUAUAACAAUCCAUCCACUUCUCUAUUUUGGAGAAUUAUUAAGUUUAUGUUAUUAAGUAUAUUACUAUAAUUAUAUUGUAUUAUAUUUAUAUUAUGUUUAUAUUAUAUUAUGUUAUCUAUUAAGUAAUUAUUACAUAAGUUUAUAUUAUUAAGUAUAAUUAAGAUUAUAUUUUGAAUGAACUGGAUACCUUGUUACAGUCUCUUAGGCAUUUUUAAGCCACUUUUCCUUGCAAAUAGCAAAGCCAGCAUUUGAGUUCCAGUAGGACAGCUCCACAGUACAAAACACUGAUCAAGUAUGAACUCAGAUUGACAAAUUAGAUUUGUUCAAAACAUUUUUUUCAGAUCAAUUUUGCACUGGUAGAUUUUAUGCUGGCCCCUUUCAUAUGUCUUCAUGACAAAUUUUGGCUGGAUUUUUCACAGAUGUUCAUCUUUUUUGGUGUUCCUUCCAGGACCCUGCACCCUUCCUCACAUAGAACCUCUGCAUUUUGUCUUUCAUUCUGGAUAUUUUCUUCAUCCAGACUUUUACGUCAUAUUGGUCAGCCCAUCAAGUUUUCCUUGAAGCUGUAGAUUAAGGUAGUAUUUCAGCAUCUCCUAGUUCUUAAGCUAUCAGACUUCUCCAAUUACUGUUACCAUCCAAGGAUUUAUUAUUUCUUCAGUCAGCUCAUACAGGAUCAGUGGUUGAAGUCUAGCUGACUUCAGUGGAGAGAUAGGUUUUCCAGCCUGGAACAAUAUAAAUAACAUAUUAUCAUAUCGUCCAGCAUGAUAAUUGCCUACAUAAUAUUAGAGAUAUCACUCACAGGGCCAUCACACUGCAUUGUUUCCACCUUGUCCUCUAUUUUGCACUCCCCCUAGCGUGUUCCUCCUUGAAGCUGUCCACACUGUCCUCCCCUCUGCUGCACACAGAUAACACCCAAAUUGACCAUACCACUAACAAAAUUGUCCUCUGAUACACAAAAGAAAAUGUAAUAAUCUUUAAAUCCUGGGCACUGUUUUUCUGUUUUUUGUGGAGAGAGCAUUCAUCAUCCCUGUUGUCAUACGUAAGGAAUUUCAACCCUACUGGCCAAAGCCACACAUCUGAAGGUACAUCCACAUAGAAUAGCAGAAAGCUUGGAAGUAAAGAAAAGAAGGAUAUGGUACAAGACAAACAAUGAUAUGAGAAGGAUAUAAGAAGACAAGACAAACAAUGAUAAACCCACACCGUGGAAGAACUGCCGUAUACAGCUUCUGAACACCUCCCAUUUUGUCAUGUUUCAUACAUCCUGCACCCCUUAAAUAAGGGAGCUCACAGUAUGUACUGCAGCCCCAGCAAUCUGCAAAGAACUUUGAGUAAAUAAAACCAGAAAUCAAUGAGUGUAGAUGUUGACUGUAGUAGAAUUUGGUCUUCAUAUCCACACACUUUUGAUGUCUGCUUCCUCCCUUGCUUGAAAAUAAUGUAAAGUACAGACCAGAAAAGCACAGUCCAAGUAAGGAAAUAGAACUAAAUAAUAAUAAUAAUAAUAAAUCUAUGACCAGACACUUUUCA